CGAAAAUGUGACGUCUCCCAUCCGUUCAAUCGACACGCCGCAAGAAAUCKACUCAAGGAAUUCCUGCUCUGAACYCUUAGCCGAUCUAAACAGACAAACUAGAAGUGCUUCUUUUGGGUCAUUCCUGACGAUUUAGGAUGUACUGACGGACGGAGACGAUGAGAUAAAAGUUAGCAAUAAGAUGUGCUUGGCCUGCCGGAGGGGAGCAGCAGAAGACCGUGAAACCACCGUGGAGGGCAGCAGCAGAAGACCGUGAAACCACCGUGGAGGGCAGCAACAGAAGACCGUGAAACUACCGUGGAGGGCAGCAACAGAAGACCGUGAAACUAGCGUGGAGGGCAGCAACAGAAGACCGUGAAACCACCGUGGAGGGCAGCAGCAGAAGACCGUGAAACCACCGUGGAGGGGAGCAG